GGUUUGUUAACUCAGCGGUAGAGUUCCCGCCUGUCUAGCGGGAUGUCACCGGUUCGAUCCCGGUACAGACCGCCA
rnacentral:tRNA from 1 species